GCGGAGGUAGCCAAGCGGCUAAGGCGAUCGCCUGCAGAGCGAUUAUUCCGGGGUUCGAGUCCCUGCCUCCGCU
rnacentral:tRNA from 1 species